rnacentral:rRNA from 1 species
CCUACGGGUGGCAGCAGUGGGGGAUAUUGCACAAUGGGGGGAACCCUGAUGCAGCGACGCCGCGUGGGUGAAGGAGUGCUUCGGCAUGUAAAGCCCUAUCGGCAGGGAAGAAGUAAGACGGUACCUGACUAAGAAGCCCCGGCUAACUACGUGCCAGCAGCCGCGGUAAUACGGAGGAUGCGAGCGUUAUCCGGAUUUAUUGGGUUUAAAGGGUGCGUAGGCGGGCUUUUAAGUCAGCGGUAAAAAUUCGGGGCUCAACCCGGUCCGGCCGUUGAAACUGGGGGCCUUGAGUGGGCGAGAAGAAGGCGGAAUGCGUGGUGUAGCGGUGAAAUGCAUAGAUAUCACGCAGAACCCCGAUUGCGAAGGCAGCCUUCCGGCGCCCUACUGACGCUGAGGCACGAAAGUGCGGGGAUCGAACAGGAUUAGAUACCCUUGUAGUC